ACUCAGUUUUCUCUUCAAUUGUGUCGAAUAAGUCUUUCGCCUUUUACUAAAGAUUUCCGUGGAGAGGGACAACAUAAUGAGUUUUCAUAGAAUUUUUGGACGGCCGCCUGGUGGUUAAGCGCCACCGGGCCA
rnacentral:snRNA from 1 species